GGGGAUUUAGCUCAUUGGUAGAGCGCUUGCCUAGCAAGCGCAAGGCCCUGGGUUCGGUCCCCAGCUCCG
rnacentral:tRNA from 1 species